CGAACCCGCGCGGGAGAGCCCGGAGUGCCCCGCAGGGGGCACAGCCGGCGCCGAAGGAGCAAGUCCUCCCCGGAAUCUCUCAGGCCCCCCUACCGCGCGGGUUAG
rfam:Streptomyces aureofaciens strain ATCC 10762 contig_20, whole genome shotgun sequence.